rnacentral:rRNA from 1 species
CGGGUGAGUAACGCGUGGAUAACCUGCCUUACACUGGGGGAUAACACUUAGAAAUAGGUGCUAAUACCGCAUAAGCGCACAGAGCCGCAUGGCUCAGUGUGAAAAACUCCGGUGGUGUAAGAUGGAUCCGCGUCUGAUUAGCUGGUUGGCGGGGUAGAAGCCCACCAAGGCGACGAUCAGUAGCCGGCCUGAGAGGGUGGACGGCCACAUUGGGACUGAGACACGGCCCAAACUCCUACGGAAGGCAGCAG